AUUGAACGCUGGCGGCAGGCCUAACACAUGCAAGUCGAGCGGAGCGGCGGACGGGUGAGUAAUGCCUAGGAAUCUGCCUGGUAGUGGGGGAUAACGUCCGGAAACGGGCGCUAAUACCGCAUACUAUCAGAUGAGCCUAGGUCGGAUUAGCUAGUUGGUGGGGUAAAGGCCUACCAAGGCGACGAUCCGUAACUGGUCUGAGAGGAUGAUCAGUCACACUGAGACUGAGACACGGCCCAGACGCCUACGGGAGGCAGCAGUGGGGAAUAUUGGGCAAUGGACGAAAGCCUGACCGAGCAAUGCCGCGUGAGUGAAGAAGGUCUUCGGAUUGUAAAGCUCUUUAAGUUGGGAAGCGUUAUCUACAGAGAAAGCAACGGCUAACUUCGUGCCAGCAGCCGCGGUAAUUC
rnacentral:rRNA from 1 species